rnacentral:rRNA from 1 species
UGGAACCUGCUGGGCGCAGCCUACCCCGAUUGAGAACUGUACAACUGUUUUCCUGACACGCCCGGCAAAAAAGUCCUUUGGAACAGGGCAUCAUACAGGGUGAGAAUCCCGUCUUUGGCCUGAGCAGUUGUCUUUUGCGAUACACUUUCAAAGAGUCAGGUUGUUUGGGAAUGCAGCCUAAAUUGGGUGGUAAAUCUCACCUAAAGCUAAAUAUUGGCGAGAGACCGAUAGCGAACAAGUACCGUGAGGGAAAGAUGAAAAGAACUUUGAAAAGAGAGUUAAACAGUAUGUGAAAUUGUUAAAAGGGAACCGUUUGGAGCCAGACUGGCUUGGCUGUAAUCAAUCUGGGCUUUUGCCCGGAUGCACUUGCGGCCUAUGCCUGCCAACGACAGUUUUAUUUGGGGGAAAAAACCAGGCGGAAUGUGGCCCCUUAGGGGGUGUUAUAGCCUCUUGGAAAAUACCCUGGAUUGGACUGAGGAUCGCAGCGAAUGCCAUUAGGCGAGAUUGCGGCGUGCUUUCGCUGAUAAAUGCUAGAAUUUCUGCUUCGGGUGGUGCUAGUGUUUAAAGGUGGAACCCGCGCUGUAUAUUUUUUAUUCGCUUAGGUUGUUGGCUUAAUGACUCUAAAUGACCCGUCUUGAAACACG